UUUUUUUUCUCUUUCUCUCACUCUCUCAUCUGCAGCUCCAGGCCUUUUCAAUAAUGAAAAAUGCAAGCUUGACUCCUAGUGAGACGACACGAGCGGCUGCUGGUUAGACGAGGGUGCUUGAGAUCCCGGCUGGUGUGGGAGAAGGAGUUUCCACCCUAACAAUGAGCGGCGUUUUGAAGGGACUUAGUCAAAAGGAAAAGAAUAAAUGGACACAGCCUUUUUUCUU